UCCAGAUUGCGAUAAACACUUGCGACAAAAAAAUAGGACAAUUCUAUAUUUAUUUUUUUAUAAAAGUGGAACAUUUUAUUUAAAAAUAAGGAUAUUCAUAUCAAAUACCCACCGAUUGAACGAGGAAAACUUAUAAAAUUAUAAACAUUACAUGUUGAAAUUGAAAUGACAAACAAACAUGUUGCAUUGUUGUUGGUGGUGUGCCUUGUAGCUGUUCAGGUGAAAUCUAUCGUUCGCAUUGGAGAUGACAAAUUGACCCGAGAAGAAUGCUUCAAUUAUUGCUACAAUGCUAUGUUAUUGCCUAAAGUCGCUGCCGAGGCGCUUUGUCGUUUCCGUUGCCGAUACGCAAUGUACAAUUCUACAGCGAACUAAAGCAACUUAAAAGGGACAAUGUUAAACAGCCACAUGCCAGUAGAAGAAGAUAUCAAUAUCGAAAUCCUGUGCCACUGAGAUAAAGAGGAUAUCCAGAGAGGUAGCUAGUAUAGUCAUGAGUUCAAACUCUAACCUCAACAUUUUUAUUUUUUCUUUAGCUUUUAGUCAAACUUAAUUCAUGAGUUGAUAUUAUUAUUAUUAUUGUCGUCUUUUCGAUGACAAAUUGUUAAAUCAAGUUCCCAUGUCACAAAACGAUCUCAAUAUUCUACUACUUCAUAGCAUCAAAGUAGAACACAAACAACAAUAUAGUACAAAAUUGUUCAUUUUCACACAUUUAUGGUAUAAUGUAACAAAAGGUUAUAACAA